rnacentral:rRNA from 1 species
GACGAACGCUGGCGGCGUGCCUAAUACAUGCCAGUAGAACGCACAGUUUAUACCGUAGCUUGCUACACCAUAAACUGUGAGUUGCGAACGGGUGAGUAACGCGUAGGUAACCUGCCUGGUAGCGGGGGAUAACUAUUGGAAACGAUAGCUAAUACCGCAUCAUAUUGAUUAUUGCAUGAUAAUUGAUUGAAAGAUGCUAUUGCAUCACUACCAGAUGGACCUGCGUUGUAUUAGCUAGUAGGUGAGGUAACGGCUCACCUAGGCGACGAUACAUAGCCGACCUGAGAGGGUGAUCGGCCACACUGGGACUGAGACACGGCCCAGACUCCUACGGGAGGCAGCAGUAGGGAAUCUUCGGCAAUGGACGAAAGUCUGACCGAGCAACGCCGCGUGAGCGAAGAAGGGUUUCGGAUCGUAAAGCUCUGUUGUAAGAGAAGAACGGGUGUGAGAGUGGAAAGUUCACACUGUGACGGUAUCUUACCAGAAAGGGACGGCUAACUACGUG